rnacentral:rRNA from 1 species
UACGAAGGGUGCAAGCGUUACUCGGAAUUACUGGGCGUAAAGCGUGCGUAGGUGGUGAGUUAAGUCUGUCGUGAAAGCCCCGGGCUCAACCUGGGAAUGGCGAUGGAUACUGGCUCGCUAGAGUGCGGUAGAGGAGAGUGGAAUUCCCGGUGUAGCAGUGAAAUGCGUAGAGAUCGGGAGGAACAUCAGUUGCGAAGGCGGCUCUCUGGGACGGUACUGACGCUGAGACGCGAAAGCGUGGGGAGCGAACAGG